UACGAAGGGGGCUAGCGUUGUUCGGAAUUACUGGGCGUAAAGGGCGCGUAGGCGGCGUGUCAAGUCAGGCGUGAAAGCCCCGGGCUCAACCUGGGAACCGCGCUUGAGACUGGCAUGCUCGAGUUCGGGAGAGGAUGGUGGAAUUCCCAGUGUAGAGGUGAAAUUCGUAGAUAUUGGGAGGAACACCGAUGGCGAAGGCAAUCCCCUGGGCCUGCACUGACGCUCAUGCACGAAAGCGUGGGGAGCAAACAGG
rnacentral:rRNA from 1 species